AAUUAAAUUUACUUACAAUUCACCUCUCUGAUUGUUUUUCAGAGUUUAAACCUGUCAGCGGCUCUGACGAUGGUUCAAACAGCUCAGCUCAUGUUCCACAGACAUAAAGAUCAUUUUAGGAGAUCAGAUGAGUGAGAGAUGAAGACAG